AAUCUAAAUCCGGAAGUGGGAGUUCAUUACAGAGAACAGUGCAAGAGCAGCCCAGAUGUACACCAGCAACUCCAGGAGAGCAGAUGAGUAAUGGAUACUUCAAGUCAUGUCAGCAACAGAAUCUGUGGAAGAACUCUGGAGAAGCGAAGAUACCGGAUAUUGGUGACCUGGGAGGAUUUAGGAAGCAGCAAAUGGAUGGACGCAGUAAGACUAAAGUUCAAAGAUAAAAGAGAAGCAUCUGUCAACUGAUGAAGGAACUGUCUUUACAGAAAAUAAGAAGACACACAGAGACAACUGGGAGAAAGCCAUGUGAAGAUGGAGACAGAGAACAAAGGUCUAUUGCCACAAGCCAGGGAAGACCAAGAGCCACCAGAAUAUGGAAGAGACAAGGAAGGAUCCUCCCCUAGAGACUUCGAAGGGAUUGUGGCCCUGCUGACACCUUGACUUCAAACUUCUAGCCUCAAAAAUGUUAGAAAACAAACUACUGUCAUUUUAA
rnacentral:lncRNA from 10 species